GUUAGGGUUGGAGUUAGGGUUAGUGUUGGAGCUAGGGUUAGGGUUGGGCUUGGAGCUAGGAUUUUUCUGAGUGCCAUGAACCAACUCCCGAGUCUCUAGGACGUUCCUAAAAAAAUUGAUUUUUUCCCAUAGGAAUGCAUGGGUUAGGGUUAGGGUUAGGGUUGGAGCUAGGGUUAGGGUUAGGGUUAGGGUUGGAGUUAGGGUUAGUGUUGGAGCUAGGGUUAGGGUUGGGCUUGGAGCUAGGAUUUUUCUGAGUGCAAUGAACCAACUCCCGAGUCUCUAGGACGUUCCUAAAAAAAAUUGAUUUUUUUCCCAUAGGAAUGCAUGGGUUAGGGUUAGGGUUAGGGUUGGAGCUAGGGUUAGGGUUAGGGUUAGGGUUGGAGUUAGGGUUAGUGUUGGAGCUAGGGUUAGGGUUGGGCUUGGAGCUAGGAUUUUUCUGAGUGCCAUGAACCAACUCCCGAGUCUCUAGGACGUUCCUAAAAAAAAUUGAUUUUUUCCCAUAGGAAUGCAUGGGUUAGGGUUAGGGUUAGGGUUGGAGCUAGGGUUAGGGUUAGGGUUAGGGUUGGAGUUAGGGUUAGUGUUGGAGCUAGGGUUAGGGUUGGGCUUGGAGCUAGGAUUUUUCUGAGUGCAAUGAACCAACUCCCGAGUCUUUAGGACGUUCCAAAAAGAAUUUGAUUUUUUCCCUUUGGAAUGCAUGGGUUAGGGUUAGGGUUAGGGUUGGAGCUAGGGUUAGGGUUAGGGUUAGGGUUGGAGUUAGGGUUAGUGUUGGAGCUAGGUUUAGGGUUGGGCUUGGAGCUAGGAUUUUUCUGAGUGCCAUGAACCAACUCCCGAGUCUCUAGGACGUUCCUAAAAAAAAUUGAUUUUUUCCCAUAGGAAUGCAUGGGUUAGGGAUAGGGUUAGGGUUGGAGCUAGGGUUAGGGUUAGGGUUAGGGUUGGAGUUAGGGUUAGUGUUGGAGCUAGGGUUAGGGUUGGGCUUGAAGCUAGGAUUUUUCUGAGUGCAAUGAACCAACUCCCGAGUCUCUAGGACGUUCCUAAAAAAAUUUGAUUUUUUCCCAUAGGAAUGCAUGGGUUAGGGUUAGGGUUAGGGUUGGAGCUAGGGUUAGGGUUAGGGUUAGGGUUGGAGUUAGGGUUAGUGUUGGAGCUAGGGUUAGGGUUGGGCUUGGAGCUAGGAUUUUUCUGAGUGCAAUGAACCAACUCCCGAGUCUCUAGGACGUUCCUAAAAGAAUUUGAUUUUUUCCCUUAGGAAUGCAUGGGUUAGGGUUAGGGUUAGGGUUGGAGCUAGGGUUAGGGUUAGGGUUAGGGUUAGUGUUGGAGCUAGGGUUAGGGUUGGGCUUGGAGCUAGGAUUUUUCUGAGUGCAAUGAACCAACUCCCGAGUCUCUAGGACGUUCCUAAAAAAAUUUGAUUUUUUCCCAUAGGAAUGCAUGGGUUAGGGUUAGGGUUAGGGUUGGAGCUAGGGUUAGGGUUAGGGUUAGGGUUGGAGUUAGGGUUAGUGUUGGAGCUAGGGUUAGGGUUGGGCUUGGAGCUAGGAUUUUUCUGAGUGCAAUGAACUAACUCCCGAGUCUCUAGGACGUUCCUAAAAAAAUUUGAUUUUCUCCCAUAGGAAUGCAUGGGUUAGGGUUAGGGUUAGGGUUGGAGCUAGGGUUAGGGUUGGAGUUAGGGUUAGUGUUGGAGCUAGGGUUAGGGUUGGGCUUGGGGCUAGGAUUUUUCUGAGUGCAAUGAACCAACUCCCGAGUCUCUAGGACGUUCCUAAAAAAAUUUGAUUUUUUCCCAUAGGAAUGCAUGGGUUAGGGUUAGGGAUAGGGUUGGAGCUAGGGUUAGGGUUAGGGUUAGGGUUGGAGUUAGGGUUAGUGUUGGAGCUAGGGUUAGGGUUGGGCUUGGAGCUAGGAUUUUUCUGAGUGCAAUGAACCAACUCCCGAGUCUCUAGGACGUUCCUAAAAGAAUUUGAUUUUUUCCCUUAGGAAUGCAUGGGUUAGGGUUAGGGUUAGGGUUGGAGCUAGGGUUAGGGUUAGGGUUAGGGUUAGUGUUGGAGCUAGGGUUAGGGUUGGGCUUGGAGCUAGGAUUUUUCUGAGUGCAAUGAACCAACUCCCGAGUCUCUAGGACGUUCCUAAAAAAAUUUGAUUUUUUCCCAUAGGAAUGCAUGGGUUAGGGUUAGGGUUAGGGUUGGAGCUAGGGUUAGGGUUAGGGUUAGGGUUGGAGUUAGGGUUAGUGUUGGAGCUAGGGUUAGGGUUGGGCUUGGAGCUAGGAUUUUUCUGAGUGCAAUGAACUAACUCCCGAGUCUCUAGGACGUUCCUAAAAAAAUUUGAUUUUUUCCCAUAGGAAUGCAUGGGUUAGGAUUAGGGUUAGGGUUGGAGCUAGGGUUAGGGUUGGAGUUAGGGUUAGUGUUGGAGCUAGGGUUAGGGUUGGGCUUGGGGCUAGGAUUUUUCUGAGUGCAAUGAACCAACUCCCGAGUCUCUAGGACGUUCCUAAAAAAAUUUGAUUUUUUCCCAUAGGAAUGCAUGGGUUAGGGUUAGGGAUAGGGUUGGAGCUAGGGUUAGGGUUAGGGUUAGGGUUGGAGUAAGGGUUAGUGUUGGAGCUAGGAUCAGGGUUGGGCUUGGAGCUAGGAUUUUUCUGAGUGCAAUGAACCAACUCCCAAGUCUCUAGGACGUUCCUAAAAAAAAUUGAUUUUUUCCCAUAGGAAUGCAUGGGUUAGGGUUAGGGUUAGGGUUGGAGCUAGGGUUAGGGUUAGGGUUAGGGUUGGAGUUAGGGUUAGUGUUGGAGCUAGGGUUAGGGUUGGGCUUGGAGCUAGGAUUUUUCUGAGUGCCAUGAACCAACUCCCGAGUCUCUAGGACGUUCCUAAAAAAAAUUGAUUUUUUCCCAUAGGAAUGCAUGGGUUAGGGUUAGGGUUAGGGUUAGGGUUGGAGCUAGGGUCAGGGUUAGGGUUAGGGUUGGAGUUAGGGUUAGUGUUGGAGCUAGGGUUAGGGUUGGGCUUGGAGCUAGGAUUUUUCUGAGUGCAAUGAACCAACUCCCGAGUCUCUAGGACGUUCCUAAAAAAAUUUGAUUUUUCCCCAUAGGAAUGCAUGGGUUAGGGUUAGGGUUAGGGUUGGAGCUAGGGUUAGGGUUAGGGUUAGGGUUGGAGUUAGGGUUAGUGUUGGAGCUAGGUUUAGGGUUGGGCUUGGAGCUAGGAUUUUUCUGAGUGCCAUGAACCAACUCCCGAGUCUCUAGGACGUUCCUAAAAAAUUUGAUUUUUUCCCAUAGGAAUGCAUGGGUUAGGGUUAGGGUUAGGGUUGGAGCUAGGGUUAGGGUUAGGGUUAGGGUUGGAGUUAGGGUUAGUGUUGGAGCUAGGGUUAGGGUUGGGCUUGGAGCUAGGAUUUUUCUGAGUGCAAUGAACCAACUCCCGAGUCUCUAGGACGUUCCUAAAAAAUUUGAUUUUUUCCCAUAGGAAUGCAUGGGUUAGGGUUAGGGUUAGGGUUGGAGCUAGGGUUAGGGUUAGGGUUAGGGUUGGAGUUAGGGUUAGUGUUGGAGCUAGGGUUAGGGUUGGGCUUGGAGCUAGGAUUUUUCUGAGUGCAUGAACCAACUCCCGAGUCUCUAGGACGUUCCUAAAAAAUUGAGAGGGAUUUUUUCCCAUAGGAAUGCAUGGGUUAGGGUUAGGGUUAGGGUUGGAGCUAGGGUUAGGGUUAGGGUUAGGGUUGGAGUUAGGGUUAGUGUUGGAGCUAGGGUUAGGGUUGGGCUUGGAGCUAGGAUUUUUCUGAGUGCAAUGAACCAACUCCCGAGUCUCUAGGACGUUCCUAAAAAAUUUGAUUUUUUCCCAUAGGAAUGCAUGGGUUAGGGUUAGGGUUAGGGUUGGAGCUAGGGUUAGGGUUGGAGUUAGGGUUAGUGUUGGAGCUAGGGUUAGGGUUGGGCUUGGAGCUAGGAUUUUUCUGAGUGCAAUGAACCAACUCCCGAGUCUCUAGGACGUUCCUAAAAAAAUUUGAUUUUUUCCCAUAGGAAUGCAUGGGUUAGGGUUAGGGUUAGGGUUGGAGCUAGGGUUAGGGUUAGGGUUAGGGUUGGAGUUAGGGUUAGUGUUGGAGCUAGGGUUAGGGUUGGGCUUGGAGCUAGGAUUUUUCUGAGUGCAAUGAACCAACUCCCGAGUCUCUAGGACGUUCCUAAAAAAAUUGAUUUUUUCCCAUAGGAAUGCAUGGGUUAGGGUUAGGGUUAGGGUUGGAGCUAGGGUUAGGGUUAGGGUUAGGGUUGGAGUUAGGGUUAGUGUUGGAGCUAGGGUUAGGGUUGGGCUUGGAGCUAGGAUUUUUCUGAGUGCCAUGAACCAACUCCCGAGUCUCUAGGACGUUCCUAAAAAAAAUUGAUUUUUUCCCAUAGGAAUGCAUGGGUUAGGGUUAGGGUUAGGGUUGGAGCUAGGGUUAGGGUUAGGGUUAGGGUUGGAGUUAGGGUUAGUGUUGGAGCUAGGGUUAGGGUUGGGCUUGGAGCUAGGAUUUUUCUGAGUGCCAAUGAACCAACUCCCGAGUCUUUAGGACGUUCCUAAAAGAAUUUGAUUUUUUCCCUUUGGAAUGCAUGGGUUAGGGUUAGGGUUAGGGUUGGAGCUAGGGUUAGGGUUAGGGUUAGGGUUGGAGUUAGGGUUAGUGUUGGAGCUAGGUUUAGGGUUGGGCUUGGAGCUAGGAUUUUUCUGAGUGCCAUGAACCAACUCCCGAGUCUCUAGGACGUUCCUAAAAAAAAUUGAUUUUUUCCCAUAGGAAUGCAUGGGUUAGGGUUAGGG
rnacentral:lncRNA from 1 species